rnacentral:tRNA from 1 species
AAGGAUUUAGGUUAAAUUAAAACUAGCAGCCUUCAAAGCUGAAAAUAGAAGUUUUCUAAGCCUUA